GACGAACGCUGGCGGCGUGCUUAACACAUGCAAGUCGAACGGAAAGGCCCUGCUUUUGUGGGGUGCUCGAGUGGCGAACGGGUGAGUAACACGUGAGUAACCUGCCCUUGACUUUGUGAUAACUUCAGGAGACUGGGGCUAAUACCGGAUAGGAGCUCCUGCUGCAUGGUGGGGGUUGGAAAGUUUCGGUGGUUGGGGAUGGACUCGCGGCUUAUCAGCUUGUUGGUGGGGUAGUGGCUUACCAAGGCUUUGACGGGUAGCCGGCCUGAGAGGGUGACCGGCCACAUUGGGACUGAGAGACGGCCCAGACUCCUACGGGAGGCAGCAGUGGGGAAUAUUGCACAAUGGGCGGAAGCCUGAUGCAGCAACGUCGCGUGCGGGAUGACGGCCUUCGGGUUGUAAACCGCUGUCGCCUGUGACGAAGCGUGAGUGACGGUAAUGGGUAAAGAAGCACCGGCUAACUACGUG
rnacentral:rRNA from 1 species